rnacentral:rRNA from 1 species
AGCGAACGCUGGCGGCAGGCUUAACACAUGCAAGUCGAGCGGGCACUUCGGUGUCAGCGGCAGACGGGUGAGUAACACGUGGGAACGUACCCUUUGGUUCGGAAUAACGCUGGGAAACUAGCGCUAAUACCGGAUACGCCCUUUUGGGGAAAGGCUUGCUGCCGAAGGAUCGGCCCGCGUCUGAUUAGCUAGUUGGUGGGGUAAUGGCCUACCAAGGCGACGAUCAGUAGCUGGUCUGAAAGGAUGAUCAGCCACACUGGGACUGAGACACGGCCCAGACUCCUACGGGAGGCAGCAGUGGGGAAUAUUGGACAAUGGGCGCAAGCCUGAUCCAGCCAUGCCGCGUGAGUGAUGAAGGCCUUAGGGUUGUAAAGCUCUUUUGUCCGGGACGAUAAUGACGGUACCGGAAGAAUAAGCCCCGGCUAACUUCGUG